AGACUGGAGGGAGCAGGCACGGCCCGGUGGCCAGGCCAGCGCAGGCUGCUCUGACCUGACCCUCUAGCGCACCCAGGCUGUUCCUGGAGUGGCUGCUGCAGGGUCACCACACUGCCACCUACAGUGCCAGCCCCACAGGGUAGCAGCACACGCUGGGGUUUAAGGUGAACAAGGUGGCCACAGAGUCCCCACAGAGAAAGCCCGGAAGUCCCUGGGCCCUGCCAGGUUUCUUUGGCCGGUGUUCCCGAGAUUUUGGACAGCUACGGACUCCACAAGCCCUCUCACCCCGCCGGGCGCCUUCUGAGGGCUUCACCAAUGACCCACCGCAUGUUGACAACAGCCCCGCCAGCAGGUGUUAUCACACCCCUUCUACAGAAGGGGAGGCACAGAGAGGUGGAGUGAUUUUGUAAAGUCACACAGUCAAGUGGGGAGCAGGAGUGGAACCCAGGCUUUGCCAUGGGACUAGAAAGCUUCGGAGUCUGGAGAUCACACAGAAGAGUGUCCUUGGCCUGAGAAAGCGGAGCAGAGCUUCCAGCGCUGGGCAGCCUCACCCGGCCUUCGGGGAGGCCCACAGGAAGGACUGAGGCGAGGGUUCAUAAAACUCACAGGGAGAGGAAACCCAGGCAGGACCCGCCUGUCUCAGUGUACCUGAAGGUGCCAGAGCCAGACGAUCAGACUGACACCCAGGAAGGAAAGGAUUUGCCGAAACCAUCUGGCAAGGAGCCAAACUCAGAUGAAACGGGACAAUGACAGAUAAGAAAAGAGGGGACAGACAUCCAGGGAGCAGAGCAUCAUGGGGGAGUCCCCUCCUGGGAAUGGGAAGGGGUCACUCCAGAAGCCCAACCUGUCACUUAUCAGAUGUGUCCAACUCCUACUAGUGCCUCAAAGCCCCACGUUCCACGCCCCUGUCAGCCCUUUCUUUAUCGUCCCCCGCUCUCCUUCCAGACUGCUCCAGACCUAGGCCCUUCCUUCCGCUGGCUUCUCCUCAAAGGGGAGAGGGUGGGUAGGGUGCCUGGCUGCGUCUGGCCUAUUGAGGGGCUGUCCCUGAAGACAGGGCUCCUCUGGCAAACACUCAGGGAUGAGGAAGCAAAGGGCGCCGAGUCUGUGCGUUCUGUUGUCCACUGGGCAGCGCGAGCACCCGGCCCGCGGGGGUCCCGGCGGGGGGGGGGGGGGGGACACAGCCCCGGGCUCCCCGCUCCGCUCUGCCACCUGCCGGCUCCCUCGCAGCCCGUGCGAAGCCCCUCCUCCUACGGGGCGCCCCGGGAGCUGCCCACCUGCCCAUCUGGCCCUCUCCUCCCGGGUCGCCCCAGGACUGGCCGACUCCUCCAGGCGCCGGCCUCGGGCCUCGGUUUCCCGCGGG